AACACAUGCAAGUCGAACGAGAAAGCACCUUCGGGUGUGAGUAGAGUGGCGCACGGGUGAGUAAUACAUAGGAACGUACCUUUUGGUGGGGGAUAACCAUUGGAAACGAUGGCUAAUACCGCAUGGUCUGGUAACAGUAAAGGUGGCCUCUCCUUGGAAGCUACCGCCGAAAGAUCGGCCUAUGUCCCAUUAGCUUGUUGGUAGGGUAAUGGCCUACCAAGGCUACGAUGGGUAGCUGGUUUGAGAGGAUGAUCAGCCACACUGGAACUGAGACACGGUCCAGACUCCUACGGGAGGCAGCAGUGGGGAAUAUUGCACAAUGGACGAAAGUCUGAUGCAGCAACGCCGCGUGAGUUAAGAAGGCCCUAGGGUUGUAAAGCUCUUUCGACAGGGAAGAAGGGUAGCUAUGAAAAUAUUGUAGUUGCUGGACGGUACCUGAUGAAGAAGCUCCGGCUAACUCCGUGCCAGCAGCCGCGGUAAUACGGAGGGUGCAAGCGUUGUUCGGAAUUACUGGGCGUAAAGAGCACGUAGACGGGCCAAUAAGUCGGUUGUGAAAUCCCAGAGCUUAACUUUGGGAAUUGCAGUNGAAACUGUUGGUCUUGAAUAUCUGAGAGGGUGGCGGAAUUCCUGGUGUAGCAGUGAAAUGCGUAGAUAUCAGGAGGAGCACCAGAGGCGAAGGCGGCUAACUGGCAGAAUAUUGACGUUGAAGUGCGAAACGUGGGGGAGCNAACAGGNUUNG
rnacentral:rRNA from 1 species